AAACCAGCACCUCAAGUGGUCAGGAUGAUUAUUGGGCCUAAAGCAUCCGUAGCCGGCUCUGUAAGUUUUCGGUUAAAUCUGUACGCUCAACGUACAGGCUGCCGGGAAUACUGCAGAGCUAGGGAGUGGGAGAGGUAGACGGUACUCGGGAGGAAGUGGUAAAAUGCUUUGAUCUCUCGAUGACCACCUGUGGCGAAGGCGGUCUACCAGAACACGUCCGACGGUGAGGGAUGAAAGCUGGGGGAGCAAACCGGAUUAGAAACCCGGGUAGUCC
rnacentral:rRNA from 1 species